GGACCCGCACAAGCGGUGGAUGAUGUGGUUUAAUUCGAUGCAACGCGAAAAACCUUACCUACCCUUGACAUGCUAGGAAUCCCGCAGAGAUGUGGGAGUGCUCGAAAGAGAACCUGGACACAGGUGCUGCAUGGCCGUCGUCAGCUCGUGUCGUGAGAUGUUGGGUUAAGUCCCGCAACGAGCGCAACCCUUAUCAUUAGUUGCUACGCAAGGGCACUCUAAUGAGACUGCCGGUGACAAACCGGAGGAAGGUGGGGAUGACGUCAGGUCAUCAUGGCCCUUAUGGGUAGGGCUACACACGUCAUACAAUGGCCGGUACAGAGGGCUGCCAACCCGCGAGGGGGAGCUAAUCUCAGAAAACCGGUCGUAGUCCGGAUCGCAGUCUGCAACUCGACUGCGUGAAGUCGGAAUCGCUAGUAAUCGCGGAUCAGCUUGCCGCGGUGAAUACGUUCCCGGGUCUUGUACACACCGCCCGUCACACCAUGGGAGCGGGUUCUGCCAGAAGUAGUUAGCCUAACCGCAAGGGGGGCGAUUACCACGGCAGGGUUCGUGACUGGGGUGAAGUCGUAACAAGGUAGCCGUAUCGGAAGGUGCGGCU
rnacentral:rRNA from 1 species